rnacentral:lncRNA from 1 species
UUUCAUAUUAGUAUUUUCUUUGUAAUUAAUUGUUGUGAAAUAGAACAACAGUUUAUUAUUAAUUACUAAGUCCUUCAUUUUUGGUUCGCCGUGCGCGUACAUUAAGCUCAAGCUGAAUGAAGCUCUGCUUGUUUAAUAAUUGAACUCUCUAAUUGUUAGCUUAUGUGGUUCAAAUUCACAUAGUGCUUAACUGAGCACAGCAUUUAUUACAUCAAAGUAAAAUUAAUUAAAUACUUCUUUAAUUUCCACACCUAAGUGAUUAUUAUUAUUAUUAUUUGCACACUAGAGAUCAAAGCAAAACAUUAUCACAUACUUAAUUUGUUAAACUUUUCUUUAUUUUUUUAUCUUCAUUGUUAAGAUAAACCCUAAUCUCUACUGCUGGAAAAGUUCUCGCUGACAAUUCGAGUCUAAGGGUGCAGCAACUGACGAAUGGAUCCAAAUUGAUGCUAAUCGCUUCUCAAGUCCUGCAUCAAGGGGUAAAUUUCUUCUGGAGAAUCGAAGUAUUUGAUGUUUUAGUUGCUGAGAGUAUAUCGAGGUCAAUGCUCACUCCCAUUUUCUUUCCUUAUGCAUGGUAUCUCUAGAUCUAUGCAUUUUAUUUACUUUUUAUUUGGGUAAAAUUUACAGAGGCUUUCUAUAUUCCACUUCACACUGUUUCUUAAACUAGUUGUAAAUUAUGUAGGAUUUGGAUCUUUUGUUGGAUCUUUUGGUGGAUCAUGUGUCAUGUUCAUGUAUCAUGUUUGCUACUUCUGUGUUUCUUGAUGUAAGUGGGUCUCGAACUUCCUUGUAGAAAUUUUGAUCGGGUAUUGCCUGUUAUUCGUCACUCCUUUAUUCGUUGUUGUUAAGGAACAAGAGAAAUGAGAAUUGAGAAUGGGGAUUUUGUGAAUUAUCUGGAGAGUACACUUAAGCGGAUCAGCUGAAUAUCAAUCUAACCACUUCAUCAGUUUGUUGCUACAUUUUCUUACUUUGUCAUCCAAAUCAAGCCACCUUUUUUUCUUUGUGAGUUGUUAUUUCCAAAACCUUGACUAAUUGAAGAAUGGUUAAAUCUAAAAGACAGUAUUUCGCUGAUUCCCUUGUGCAUUAGCAUGUUGAAAUUCGAGAGUUUUUGCUGCUUUACCCGUCCUUAAACAGCAGUACUGCUCUUGUUGUUUGGUGGUUGGUGAUGUCUUCAUAUUUACAUGGCAAUUUUGGGGUUAUAGUUAAGUUAUUUUUGGAGUUAUAGACUUUUAAGUCUUUAACAAAUGUUAUUUCUAAUAAGAGGUCAGAUGUCAUUUUGAUGUCUUACUUCUAUGAUUUUUGCAAUAUCGUGAUUGUGAUUCUGAUAUUUCUUUACUUCGAAAGUUGUAUCGGAAUCAAAAUUUUCAGAUGCAGCAUUCUAAAAAAAUUGAGGGCUGACUCUCGAAGAGACUCUUAUGUAAUUAGGAGUGAGGAAGUAAGCUUCAAAACUUUUGUUAGGUAGAUAAAAGGUGCAUAAGAGUUUGUUGGGGUAAAUGAAGUAGUUAAAAAGCAGUGUAAACACUGGAAAAGGAUUGCAGCGCCAAGAGUUUUCUAAGGAUCUAUCAAGCACCAUUAAGAAUUCUUCAAGGAUUUUUCAUUUCCUCUGGACAAGAUUCCUUUGAGAUCUCAGCUUAUUCAAUCAAUAGUAAUUUUAAGGUUCUUUAAUGAUUAAGGAGCAGGUUUACUGUGCUUGAAUAGGAUGUAAUGGUGUAAAAGUAGAGGUUCAGGCGGCAAAUGAAGAAAGCAAUACAUGCAGCUCAGGUGGGGUAGCCAUUAAUUCCAUUAUGUGAAGUGAUCUAGUUUGUGUUUGUUCCGUUUGAUGUGUUGAUUCAGGUCUUUUGGGGGCUAUGUUUUAGUUUUUUGGGAUGAAAGAAUGAUCUUGAUUUGCGGUUGUUGUGUGCUUGCUUCUUUAGUUGUUUGGUUGUUUGAUCUCUCCGUCCGGUCAAUCAUUCAUUGAUUAAUGUGCUUUAACUUAAUUUGGGCCCUGCAGUCCUCGUCUCUUCUUCUGCAUCCAUGCUCUUCUUUGGGCUCUAAUCUUUAAUCUUGGAGUUUUAUUUUUAAGUUAUGAUUUGCUAGCUUCCUUGGUAUCUUUGGUUUGGCUCAGUUGGAGUUUCUUUGACACCUUGUUAGUUAUUCUAUGCGAAUAUAUUCUGUGAAUGAUGUUCUAACACCUUGCACUUCAUUUGAGGUGAAUUUGUGCAUCUUUGGAAGACUUUUAUGCAGGUUUUAUUAUUUAUUUGACACAGUUUGAUUUGUGAAUGAAGUUGCGAAGUUGUGGAUGAUUUUGAGAAUUUACUAUUGACUUCUCGACAGUUUUUUUUUUCUUUCAAAUUUUCAUUUUAUAUUUUGUGAAUUUACUAUUGAAUUCUAGAAUUUUCUUUGAUCUUUGAUUUCUUUCCACUUCACAGUAUUUCUUAAACUUUGCAAGCAUGAUUCAACUGUGCAUCUUCGCACCAAAAGUGUGAGUCCCUCGUUAUUUUCUUAAUCUGGUGUUCUUGGAGCCUCGCAGAGAGCCUUGUCGACACCGGCCUGCUUCUUGAAGACUACGCUAGGCAUUCUCUUUACAGUGGUUGUGGACUGGAGUAGGAAUUUGGAGAAGGCUGGGUGGUUCUAGACAUUACAACAAAUUUCUUUCAGGAUUUGAUUCCUUGUUCGUGAGUUUUUCAAGGUAAAAUGUAGUUAUUCUUUAAUAUGUGAUAUCAGAAUUCGUAUCUAAUGUUUUGUACCUUCAAAGCUAGCAUUGUUGUAGGGUUUACUCAAUCUAUACUUUUAGACAAUCUGUCUAUGAGUAAUAUCGCUAAUCAACUUGCUAUGUCAUAAUCAACCAGAAAGGUCUGACACAUCUUUUAUUUGUCUAUGGGUAAUAUUGCGAAUUGCAGGAAUACUUGCUUAGUAGGCCAAUUUGUGCUUCCAGUUUGUCUUAAUAGAUAGGGUUGUACAUGAUAAUAAACCUAGUCACACCUUUUAUCAGUGUUUGAUUUCAAAUUUUAAACUUACAUAACCAGAAGAAUGUCUCUAUGUUUAUCUCUUUUCUAUUUUUCUUUAACUACGUUCCAGUGACUUACUAUUUUAAACUACUAAUGACCUCCGCUAAACUUUAUUAAUGUAUUAAUCACCUAGAUAGUUCAAAUCCUAAGUUCAACGACAUGACUGAGUGUUAAUUAAUUUAAUGACAAUAUAACAUGCAUAUUUGCGUGGUUUAUUUAAUUUAAUAUGUUAUUGUCAGGGCUAAAGAUUUCAAAACCUCUUGUGACAUCUGCUAGAUUUUGUUAAUUGUGCUAAUCAUCUAGAGGGUUCAGAUCAUAACUUUAAUCACAUGAUGAGUAUUUAUGCAUACUCUAUAGUUUCGCAAAUAGGUUGGUGACAUGCUAUAGAUUCCAAACAUCUUCUAGUCACAUAGACAAUGACAAGUGCCAAGAUGGAUGCUUGUUGGCAUUCCUUUUGGCAUCAUUCAUUGAACAGUGGUUUUCUGGAAGCACAAGAUAAAUGUAGACAAUAAAGUUGUCUGAUGGAAUCCACUACAAUUCCAUUAGCUCUGUUCAAUGACUUGUCCUAACUAUAAGUGGCGAUUCAAAGUGCAGUGCUGUUUGAUGAUGCAUAUUUUAAGUAGAAAAAUGCAGGAAAAAGAGUUAUUAUUUGGAUUAAGUUUCAUAAUUUAGUAUUUUUAGGUUACCCUGCUUGAGGUAGCUUUUCAUUUUUUGUAUUUGUGCAAUACUGUUGUCAAGUAACUAGGCUUCUUUUUUAAUCUUGAAUGUUGCUUAUAGUGGAAAAGAUGAUAAGCUUGCCACUUUUCUGUUGCUGGUUUAAUUGUUGGACUUGCUAAUUUUUCUUUAUUUUUAUUUGCAGAUUUAUAAGAGGUGGUGGCGAGAAAAAUUUUGGUAGUAUUUUGGCGAUGUAUUCAAUCAAGUUUAAGAAUUUAGACAUAUUUUGAAAACAUUACAUUUGAUAGUAUGUGGAAAUGACAAAAAUACUAUUUUUGUGUUUUGUUUUUUGGUUGUGUUGGGUGUAUUAAGUGACAAUGCAAUGAUACUUUAACAUUUAAAGCUUGAUUCAGUCUUUCUUUUUUGCCUUAUAUGAUUAUUUAUGUUCUUCUGUACAUUUAAAGUUUGAUUCUGUCUUACUUAGUUGUGUGGAUUAAUUUUAUAAUUAAAUACUUAUAGAGAUUCAAUUAGAUUUAAUAUAUAUUGGUUCUAAGGUAUUUGAGUCAUAGUGUUUGGGUUUAAUUUUGUUUUGAGAGGAUUAAAUUGAAAUUAAAGGUUAAAAUUUAAGAAUGAGAAAUUUUUAUAAUUAUAGAUUAUUUUUAUGCAAUUUAUAAUAAAUCAAUAAUAUCUAUUACUACAAAUUAUUUUUUUAAAAAAAAUAAUUUUCGAUCAGAAAAAUAGUGGCGACAAUAGUCGCCACCAUAUAACUAGUCCGGUUAGCUAAUUAUCUAACUUUUAGUGGCGACAAAUUGUUGCCACCAAAUAUUUCGCGGCGACAAAAUGUCGCCACUAAUUCUCUAAUUUUUCGCGGCGACAAUUUGUCGCCGCUAAUUAUCUAACUUUUAACGGCGACACAUUGUCGCCACCAAAUAGUUUUACCGACGGGGUUUUAGGCGGCGGCAUGCGGCGACGAAUUGUCGCCGCCAAAACACAUUUCGUGGCGACAAUUAUGGCUAUGGUGGCGACAUUUGUCGCCACUAAAUCUCAUACUUGUUGUAGUGCAUGCAAUUACCCACUCAGUCCUAGGGUACUAUUGUCAUCCUAAACCCACAUCUUUUCAUCUAACGGCCGAAAAUCUAAUAGCACCAAUGACUUGGUGCUAAUAAUAAUAUAGUAGCAUAGUUCUAU